GAUGAACGCUGGCGGCGUGCCUAAUACAUGCAAGUCGAGCGAACAGACGAGGAGCUUGCUCCUCUGACGUUAGCGGCGGACGGGUGAGUAACACGUGGAUAACCUACCUAUAAGACUGGGAUAACUUCGGGAAACCGGAGCUAAUACCGGAUAAUAUAGUGAACCGCAUGGUUCAAUAGUGAAAGAGGGUUUUGCUGUCACUUAUAGAUGGAUCCGCGCCGCAUUAUGUAGUUGGUAAGGUAACGGCUUACCAAGGCGACGAUGCGUAGCCGACCUGAGAGGGUGAUCCGGCACACUGGCACUGAGACACGGUCCAGACUCCUACGGGAGGCCGCAGUACGGACUCUUCCGCAAUGGGCGAGAGCCUGACGGAGCACCGCGGCGUGAGUGCUGAAGGUCCUAGGAUCGUAAAACUCUGUUAUUCGGGAAGAACAAAUGUGUAAGUAACUAUGCACGUAUUGACGGUACCUAAUCAGAAAGCCACGGCUAACUACGUG
rnacentral:rRNA from 1 species